rnacentral:tRNA from 1 species
UGGUCUAUGGUGUAAAGGCAGCACAGUUGACUUUGACUCAGCUGGUUCAGGUUCGAAUCCUGAUAGACCAU